GUGUUCGUAGUUCAGUUGGUUAGAAUAUCAGAUUGUGGUCCUGAGGGUCGUGGGUUCAAAUCCCACCGGACACC
rnacentral:tRNA from 1 species